rnacentral:pre_miRNA from 1 species
CGGGGGAGGCCGGAUCCUGGGCUGUGUCCUGGCGCCCUGUGCUCCCGGGCCUGCGCUGAUGGAUUCGCUCUCCUGCCCCGCAGCCCCCU